rnacentral:rRNA from 1 species
UACGUAGGGGGCAAGCGUUGUCCGGAAUCAUUGGGCGUAAAGCGCGUGUAGGCGGUUCGAUAAGUCUGCUGUGAAAACCCAUGGCUUAACCGUGGGCUUGCAGCCGAUACGGGCAGGCUAGAGUUCGGUAGGGGAGACUGGAAUUCCUGGUGUAGCGGUGAAAUGCGCAGAUAUCAGGAGGAACACCGGUGGCGAAGGCGGUUCUCUGGGCAUGUCCUGACGCUGAGGAGCGAAAGUGUGGGGAGCGAACAGG